rnacentral:rRNA from 1 species
UACGUAGGUGGCAAGCGUUGUCCGGAUUUACUGGGCGUAAAGAGCGCGCAGGCGGUCGUUCAAGUCGCGUGUGAAAGCCCCCGGCUCAACUGGGGAGGGUCACGCGAUACUGAUCGACUGGAAGGCAGGAGAGGGUAGUGGAAUUCCCGGUGUAGUGGUGAAAUGCGUAGAUAUCGGGAGGAACACCAGUGGCGAAGGCGGCUCACUGGUCCGGUACUGACGCUGAGGUGCGAAAGCGUGGGGAGCAAACAGG